UUGAAGAGUUUGAUCAUGGCUCAGAUUGAACGCUGGCGGCAGGCCUAACACAUGCAAGUCGAACGGUAACAGGAAGUGCUUGCACUUCGCUGACGAGUGGCGGACGGGUGAGUAAUGCUUGGGAACUUGCCUUUGCGAGGGGGAUAACAGUUGGAAACGACUGCUAAUACCGCAUAAUGUCUUCGGACCAAACGGGGCUUCGGCUCCGGCGCAAAGAGAGGCCCAAGUGAGAUUAGCUAGUUGGUAAGGUAACGGCUUACCAAGGCGACGAUCUCUAGCUGUUCUGAGAGGAAGAUCAGCCACACUGGGACUGAGAC
rnacentral:rRNA from 14 species